AUUAUACAGUUUUCAUGGCCCUGGGUUUAUACUCGGUUACGGAAUAUGAACGCACGACCUGUGUACGGUCUCCACAAUGCCUUAGUUUUUUGUUGGUUUCUUGGUUGUCUUCCCCAGGAUGCUGUGAUCUUGGAAAAACACAAGCGUCUGAAUUUGUGUUAGAAUGUUAAUACCACGGCUGGUCAUCCCUUGCGUUCUUAAUAAACGUCUCGCAACAAUACGCAAAAGAGGAAAAUUCUUUUCACUCUGCAGCAAAACAAAUACAUGCCAUUUAGCUUAACAGACCGUACAAAUGCUAAGUGCGUUCAAGGGCUUUGAGCCAUAUUUUGGAUGGAACUUCCCUGGAAGGUGUGGGCCGGUACUUGGCCGUCAUCUGGAGAGGUUUUAGAUGAUGCUUUAUUCUGGACGCUUCCAUCCCUAAAUGGCAGAUGGGCAUGGGGGGGGGGGGAGGCGCCAUUCCCUGACAUGCAGCUGCGAAGGAACGGGGCAGGUGGGCACCUCUUCCUUUCUGGGGACACAGGGUUGGAUCGCUGCUCCCAUCGCCCAGGGACUGGAAGACAGAGAAACGAAUCCUUCCAUCUGCUGAGUGUCUCUGCGCGGCUGCUGAAGUAACCAGGCAGGCUCCGUAAUACGGUAACCACCGACGACGGCUGCUGGACAGUCACUGGGGGGUAAGAGUGGGGAUGACGAUUUCAAAGGCGACCCAGUUCUUGCCGGUAUGCGCGUUCAGAGGCGUAAGCAGAAGCAUCCCGUGUUCUGCUUGAGCGGUGACUGCGCUGCCCACUGGUGCCCAGGGCCCGCCCACCCCCCUUCCUGGGCUUCGUAGCCACAGCCCAGGGCGCUGGGGCCAACUGAGCACGUGCUAUGAGAGGCAGGCCUGCUCCUCUGAUUGAGGCUCGGACUGAACAGGGACACAGAACAGGAACGACGCCCUCCACGCCCCAGUGUCCCCCUCAUGUUCCCAAGCGCCCUGCCAGACUGGAACGCAGCUCCCUGCUCUGAUGUCAAGGUCAAGGGGACAGCUGGUUCCCCCCCCACCCCCCCUGCCCUUCUGUGGCAGUCGCAGGCACAUGAGAGGCAGCAUUGGUGGGUGCUCGGGAACGUGGGUGCCAGAGAUGGGCGGGCUGAGCAGGAAGCCCAGAUCCAACACAUGCUGGGACCCAGAGCAGGGGACAUCACCCCUCUGGGCCGCGCUGCCCUUCUGUGUCAAGUGGGAAAUACCCGAACGAAUAAAAGAAUGACAGCAACCA